GUGCCAGCAGCCCCGGUAAUACUAAGGGGGCUAGCGAUGCUCGGAAUUACUGGGCGUAAAGGGCGCGUAAGCGGCGGCCCAAGUCAGGCGUGAAAUUCCUGGGCUCAACCUGGGGACUGCGCUUGAUACUGGGUUGCUUGAGGAUGGAAGAGGCUCGUGGAAUUCCCAGUGUAGAGGUGAAAUUCCUAGAUAUUGGGAAGAACCCCGGUGGCGAAGGCGGCGAGCUGGUCCCAUUACUGACGCUGAGGCGCGACAGCGUGGGGAGCCAAACAGGAUUAGAUACCCUGGUAGUCC
rnacentral:rRNA from 1 species